UACAGAGGUCUCAAGCGUUGUUCGGAAUCACUGGGCGUAAAGGGUGCGUAGGUGGCGUGGUAAGUCAGAUGUGAAAGCCCAGGGCUCAACCCUGGAACUGCAUCCGAUACUGCCAUGCUAGGGAACUGAAGAGGAGUGUAGAAUUCUCGGUGUAGCAGUGAAAUGCGUAGAUAUCGAGAGGAAUACCAACGGCGAAGGCAGCACUCUGGGCAGUUUCUGACACUGAGGCACGAAGGCUAGGGGAGCAAACGGG
rnacentral:rRNA from 1 species